rnacentral:misc_RNA from 1 species
GAUGAAGAACGUAGCGAAAUGCGAUAAGUAAUGUGAAUUGCAGAAUUCCGUGAAUCAUCGAAUCUUUGAACGCAUAUUGCGCCCUCUGGUAUUCCGGGGGGCAUGCCUGUUCGAGCGUCAUUACAACCCUCAAGCUUUGCUUGGUAUUGGACAUUGCCAGUUUCUGGCAGGUCUUAAAAUCAGUGGCGGUGCCAUUUGGCUUCAAGCGUAGUAAUUCUUCUCGCUUUGGAGAUCCAGGUGGUUACUUGCCAAUAACCCCCAAUUUUUUCAGGUUGACCUCGGAUCAGGUAGGGAUACCCGCUGAACUUAAGCAUAUCAAUAAGCGGAGGA